GAUUGCAAAAUAUCAUGCUGUUAGCAUUUGGCAGAAGACAGAUUAAGAAAUGCAGUAGGCAGCAAAUAGAGAAUUAAACAGAGAAGAACAGAAAAAGAUAGUCCACACCCCGCUGGGUGAUGGAGCCGUGACGUUAGCCAGCUUGUGAAGGCAGCAUCACCAGUGCCUUGGAGACGGGCAGCAAAUUGACGCAGCUUCUUGUCCAAUCCUCAGAUGAAAUAGCUUUCUUCAGACAACCAAUGAAUGCUAAAUCUCGUGUCCAGAAACACAUUCCCUCUGAUAACAGCAUGCCAGCUGAAGACAAUGUCCCCUCCCCCGCUUUCCUAUUCAGCCUGUCACAGUAUACUUGUGAAGCAUAAUACAUUCUGAGACAAAAGCAAAAUAAUGUGGCUCUUUAAAGGUAUGAAUUACUUGUCUUCAAAAAAUUCAAUUUUAUUUGUAAAGACACGGAGAGUUAAAAAAAAUCCAUUAAUUACCAUUGCUGAGCUUUAUUGCGGUAGGAAAAAAAAAUCAGAAGCUUGAAGCCUUUGCCUCGAUUAGGAUAGGUCUGUAGACUAGCAAUACGUGAACGACGUACCAAAUGCUAUGAACCUCUUGGAGGCAGUGCUCCAAAACCCAAAACAGUGAAUACAUUCUCAGAUGACGGUAAUAUUCUAACGUGCUGUAAUCUGUACACUUGACACAAAUUCAAUACCGAAUUUCAACAAACAACAAAUCUUAAAAAUAUUUUUAGAAAGGAGGCUAGGAUCUCUGACAAUGAGCAGAUAUCCAACUAAUGAGAUGUAAAUGUUUUCUCUUCAUUCUAUUUUUUAAUAUAUCACAGGCUGAACAGAGGUAUAUAAUUUAAGACCCUCAAUACAAACUUCCUAGAGUAGUCAAGAUCUAACAAACAAGAUUCUUUGGAAAGCUUAAUUGAAGAACAAGGAAUUUUAAUACUAUAGCAUUUGUCCAUUCAAAGAUGAAAAGAAUAGCCAGGGCUAUGAUUCAGCUAUAAUACACCGACUCAGUUUGCUAUAUUAUUAAAGAAAUAAUCUUAUUUUAAUGCUAUUAAGAAAUAAACUUAAAUUAUUUUUAAAAACCUUCCUUGUAGGCAGACACUUCCCGGCAUUUUGUUUGUUUUGUUACAAAACGCAGGGUAUUGAUGCAGAGACUACAGAGACACCUCAGGGCCACCAAGCCCGUGUUUAAGUUCUAUACCCAAUCUGUCUUGCUUCUCCAAGAUCAUGUUAAAAAUCUAAAAACUAUAAGGAGUUAUUUUCCAGUAAAGAAGAAGUUCCGAAGCCUCUACUCUUCCCUGAGGAAAUUCUGUGCCCCACGAAUGCCACAGGCUCCACAGCGCGCACAGGUGAGUCGGGAUGAGUGACCUGGGAUCACAAGGGGUCCUUCCGAUUCCCACACAUUGGAUUCCAGAUUCUUUAAUUGGCUGACAGUUUAAGAUUUACAUUAUUAUGUCCCUUCACAAUAAAGUUCCUGACUUCUCAAAGCCAAAAACCUAUCUUUAAUAAACAUUUUAGUUGGCAAUAUGGCAGUUAGUGAAUCACUUUAAAAAGCUCCUUUGAGGAAAGGAGUAUAACCCAUAACCUCAAAUACCUUAACAAUCAAGAGCAAAGCAAGUCAAGUUAUGAAUUAUCGAUAAAAGUCAUUCUUUCUGUCAAUGAACAUUCCUUUGAAAGGCCUAUAUGCCAGAGUCAAAAGCAAAACAGACACUAUCAACCUCUGAACUCAAGGACUAUUUGUCUAUGAAGUGAGGUAGACAAGUAAACAGAAGAUUACAGCAGAGUAUAAAAAAAUCUAAUGACACGCUAUGAAGAGCUUCAAGGCUAGUUUACAUGGGAAUAAUAAAAGGCAAGUAAGUAUAGUUCAAGGAAGCCUUCCUGUGAUGGAAGAGGGAGGAACAAGGGCAGAGCUUUGAGGGAGAACA